rnacentral:rRNA from 1 species
UACGUAGGUGUCAAGCGUUGUCCGGAUUCAUUGGGCGUAAAGAGCCCGCAGGCGGCUCGGUCAGUCUCGGGUGAAAUCUCCCGGCUCAACUGGGAGGGGUCUUGAGGAACUGCCGGGCUUGAGGCAGGGAGAGGGAAGCGGAAUUCCAGGUGUAGCGGUGAAAUGCGUAGAUAUCUGGAGGAACACCAGUGGCGAGGGCGGCUUCCUGGCCCUGACCUGACGCUCAGGGGCGAAAGCGUGGGUAGCAAACCGG